rnacentral:rRNA from 1 species
GAGCAGCAGUGGGGAAUAUUGCACAAUGGGCGCAAGCCUGAUGCAGCCAUGCCGCGUGUAUGAAGAAGGCCUUCGGGUUGUAAAGUACUUUCAGUCGUGAGGAAGGCAUUAACGUUAAUAGCGUUAGUGUUUGACGUUAGCGACAGAAGAAGCACCGGCUAACUCCGUGCCAGCAGCCGCGGUAAUACGGAGGGUGCGAGCGUUAAUCGGAAUUACUGGGCGUAAAGCGCAUGCAGGUGGUUUGUUAAGUCAGAUGUGAAAGCCCGGGGCUCAACCUCGGAACCGCAUUUGAAACUGGCAGGCUAGAGUACUGUAGAGGGGGGUAGAAUUUCAGGUGUAGCGGUGAAAUGCGUAGAGAUCUGAAGGAAUACCAGUGGCGAAGGCGGCCCCCUGGACAGAUACUGACACUCAGAUGCGAAAGCGUGGGGAGCAAACAGGAUUAGAUACCCUGGUAGUCCACGCCGUAAACGAUGUCUACUUGGAGGUUGUGGCCUUGAGCCGUGGCUUUCGGAGCUAACGCGUUAAGUAGACCGCCUGGGGAGUACGGUCGCAAGAUUAAAACUCAAAUGAAUUGACGGGGGCCCGCACAAGCGGUGGAGCAUGUGGUUUAAUUCGAUGCAACGCGAAGAACCUUACCUACUCUUGACAUCCAGAGAACUUUUCAGAGAUGAAUUGGUGCCUUC